GAUUUCGCUCCACCCGAACUUUGACCCGAGAUCGAAGAUCAAAACCUCGGAUGAGAUGAAAAAGUCUUGAUAAGAAGAAAUUUUCUUCGGAGAACUUCGUGAUUAUCAGUUCGCUAAUAAUUACGAAGUUCCGGUUACGAAAACCAAUAACUUUUUUUGGAUCUGAGGGCUAAUGCUUUUUCUCGUCCACUUUUCUCUGGACUGUGAAGUAGGCCAGAUCGGCAAAAAUUUGUUUUCGCGCGUUAACUAGUACACAAAGUUUUUCCCUCCGAGUGCAAGAUAGUGCAUAUUGUUUUACUAGUGCGAUAUAAAUAUUGAAAAAGGAUUCUCGGAGGAGCCGAUCCACCUGCAACCCGUUAUCAGCCAGCCAGGGAAAGUGAACCCAACGCACCGAGCGAUCGUCAACCGCAUCUUAUCUCCAUCACGUGGUACGUUUCGACCAACAGAAGACACCGCAGGCGAAACGGCAUACGCGAGGCGGCAACUGUCCCUUUGGUUCUACGAGUGGCAUCCCGCAGACGACGCACGGCGAUUUUCCGGAGACUUUUCCGCUUCCGGUUAAAUCAGGUUUGAGCAACCAUCCAACCCGAGUGAGUACAUACAUAAUUGACACCAUCAUCGACAUUCUUCCGUUCUUCUCUAGAUCCUCAAUUGAGCGGCACUCACCAAGCCUACAGCAACAGCUCAGUUGG